rnacentral:tRNA from 1 species
GGGGCCAUGGCUCAGUGGUAGAGUGCUUGCCUAGCAUGCAUGAGGCACUGGGUUCAAUCCUUAGUACCA